rnacentral:rRNA from 1 species
AUACGAAUGGUGCUAGCGUUGUUCGGAAUCACUGGGCAUAAAGGGCACGUAGGCGGUUUAGUAAGUCAUCUGUGAAAUCCCCCGGCUCAACCGAGGAACUGCAGCUGAAACUGCUGAACUAGAGUGCGCGAGGGGAGAGCGGAAUUCCUGGUGGAGCGGUGAUAUGCGUAGAUAUCAGGAGGAACGCCGGAGGCGAAAGCGGCUCUCUGGCGCGCAACUGACGCUGAGGUGCGAAAGCGUGGGUAGCGAAUCGGAUUAGAAACCCGAGUAGUCC